rnacentral:rRNA from 1 species
CGCGGGCGGUUCGCCGCCCGCGACUCUGCGAGAAGUCCAUUGAACCUUAUCAUUUAGAGGAAGGAGAAGUCGUAACAAGGUUUCCGUAGGUGAACCUGCGGAAGGAUCAUUG